GACGAACGCUGGCGGCGUGCUUAACACAUGCAAGUCGAACGGAAAGGCCCAGCUUGCUGGGUACUCGAGUGGCGAACGGUGAGUAACACGUGGGUGAUCUGCCCCAAACUUCGGGAUAAGCCUGGGAAACUGGGUCUAAUACCGGAUAUGACCUGCUCCUGCAUGGGGUUGUGGAAAGCUUUUGCGGUUUGGGAUGGACCCGCGGCCUAUCAGCUUGUUGGUGGGGUAAUGGCCUACCAAGGCGACGACGGGUAGCCGACCUGAGGGGUGAUCGGCCACACUGGGACUGAGACACGGCCCAGACUCCUACGGGAGCAGCAGUGGGGAAUAUUGCACAAUGGGCGCAAGCCUGAUGCAGCGACGCCGCGUGAGGGAUGACGGCCUU
rnacentral:rRNA from 1 species